UUCUAUCCCUUUUCCUGGACAUUUUCUCACCAGAGCGUCGGAAUACCUUAGGGCCAACAGGGUUUCAGUUGGCUUGGUGCCAGGAAGAGAUCUGCAAACAUUUGCAAAUCAGAGACUUACCAUGCUGACUACGUAGUGUUAAAUCAGGAGAACCGUCCUGAGGCGGGCUGGACUCAGAAAUCGCGCCUCCAGCUCUGACACCUCACGGCUCCUCCUCACUCCAGGAUCCGCCUCACACUGGCAGGAGGGCAGUGGUUGCCCAGUCUAGGAGGCUGAGUGCCUCGGCAGUUCCAAUCGGGCACCAAACACCUGGAUGUUUCCUGGAGAGCCCUGGACCACAGUCAUUAGGAGCCUGGAAAUGCUGGCUCUGGUAUCACCAAAGGAACCAGCAGUUGCAACAGGAUAAAUCGACUCAGGGACAAGAAGGAAAGCCAAGGAAGCCACGUAAGCAAGCAGCGAAUAGUCCUCCUUCUGCUACGACCUCUUGUCCAGGCUGCCACAGGAAGACACUGCCCACGUUGAGAAGGCUCUUCAUAGAUCAAUUAAGGCAAGGAAGACUCCCUGCUCAGGUGGUCCCAGUUAAUGGCAAGUUGACAUUAAAAUCAACCAUCAUAUGAGGCAUGCUUGGGAGUGACUCAGGCUGGGCUGAAGCAGGAGACUGCAAGGAACCAAGGCCUGGGCCUCCAUCUUGGGGAUCUUGAACACAGUCGGUCUCACAGAGAGACAUGUAGGACGCUCAGCUUACUCCUCCAGAGCCAUGCUUCUCACCGUGAUGGUAAUAGGCCAAGCCUGUGAAACUGGAUGGACGGUCACCUGUGAGUGUGAGUGAAACACACACUCUCCUCCCCGAGCUGCUUUUUACCACGGUGUUUCACCACAGCAAUAGAAACCCUACGUCAGAAAUGUUCCAUCACCACGGCAGGUGUGGUGGCAGACGUGUGAGAGGUCUGGUCACACUGAAUCCGCAGUUGGGAAGCAGAAAGAGAUGGAUGCCAGUGUGGCCCCACCCAGGGCAUGGUACCACCCCCACGUUUGGGGUGUGUCUUCCACUUCAACUAGCCCGAUCUACAAACCUUCUCAUAGACGUGUCCACAGACUGAUCCCCAAGAUGUCUCUAGAUCCUGGCAUGUUGACCGUCAGUGUUAGUCCCCAAGAUGUUUCGAGAUCCUGGCACGUUGACCGUCAGUGUUAGCUAUUGUAUCAGGAUCAGGUCCAGGCCCAGGAGUCUCGCUGAUUUGAGUGAAGUAGAGACCAGUUCCCAUAAAGGACAUGCUGUACUACACCACCAAAAUCUCCCUUCAAGAUCUCUUCAGAGAGCAAUGGCCACUUCCCAAGGUGAACGUGCAGUGGGCAAAGGGAACUGAACACUCAGGACCUUUGACACAGACGCUGAACUGACCCCAGGAAGACCGAAAUCUCACUGUGUCUCUAGUCAGAGUAGGGCUUUUAGAGGAAGGUAGUCAGUGGCGUGCUCAAUCCUUGAGGAGCCCCGUCAGUCCCCAGAACCGUGCUGCUUCUCCAAUGUGAUGAAUAACCUUGGUUGCUAACUUGGCUACAUCUGGAAUUGACUAAAACCCUAGACUCCGGUCUUGUGAGGGACUGUCCUAAUCAGAUUAUUUGGAGCAAGAAAACACCCUACCUCUGGGCUGUACCUUCUGGAGACAGCCCACACAAAAGGACAUAGAAGGAUGAAUCUUUGCUUUUUCUUCUUCUUACCUUCACUCCCCUUCAUCUCCCCUGUUGCCGUGGCCAGUGUUAACUCCAGCUUCUUCGUGGCUCCAAUGAAGACCAGCAGAGCUCCAGGAACCCUCCUAGGCUUCAGCCUUAGAUUGGACUACGGAGAAGUGUAGCCUCAUGGACUGAACAACCACUGGAUUCAUGGCCUUUGUGGGAUUUCCUGGACCACAUCCUGCAAGUCACUCUAACAAAUCAGCUCAUUGGCCAUCCCUUUAGAAGGCUUACCUCAGUGCACCCUAGACCCCAUUCAUUCUGUCAGCUCUGUUCCUGUAUAGAACACUGAUUACAAUGCCCAGAUGUGGAAGACAUGAUUGGACACAUACUUGCAAACAGAAGAACACUCAUCAGCCUUCUGACCACUACAGUGAGGACAAGUAUAGUAGCAAGACCAAGAGGAAACCAGUGAUUGUUUUGACCUAAAAAAAAAUAGUAAACCACCACAGAGAAACCCUGUCUUGAAACCAACGUUAAUUUCUCAUCCCUUGGAUGGAAAAUGUGGGGAUGCAAGACUGAUGAGUCUAUCACACCCCCGUUAAGUGUUUUCAUUUUAUACAUGCAAGGUGCUUGAUCUUGAAGAAUGACAAUAGAUUAUGCUCAACUUAACCAGGCAGUGUCUCCAGUUAUAGCUGCCAUGUCACAACUGUUUCUGUGGCUUGGGGAAAUUUACACAUAGUCCAAUACCUGCUUCAUAAUGAUCAGCCAGUAAGUACCUCCCUCUCCUCUCUUUGCCCACGAGUAAUGGCCGCCAGAAGCACUUCGUUCCUACUGUCAAGGCCGGUGUUACACCUCUGUGUCCUGCCCAAGAGAAAACCAGCUGCCUCUCACGGGCUAAUUUACAGGAAAUCUGACCCCCCCUUUCUCCUCCAAAGGGCAUCAUUGCAUUCCCUCCACUACAUUGAUGGUAGCUAGCUGGGCUGUGUUUAUAAGAAGGAACAAGGAUUCCAGACACAUGGUUAAAACAUUAAUGUGCUACAGAGUGGAAAACAGAUUUCAGUAUUGUGGAGUCCCUUCUAACGGGAAGGCCCAGGAAAUGCAUCUAGUUCCUCUUUUGGGGAAGCAAGAAGGUCAGUGGGUUGUCAUGGCAACAUUCUCUUCAUUUGGGUGGGUUGAGUACUAAAAAAUGCUGCUAGUUUUGAGUGAGUCCAGAACAAAGGAAAAAGUCUUUUUUUUUAAAUUUUUGUUAUACUCUAUUAAGUUGGAGUCUGUGCACCUUAAAGUUGUUAGUUAUCCAAGGAUCAUACUGCAUUUCUGAUUCUUUGUGUCUGCCCUCAAGUACUGGGGUUCCAUGCAUAUGCUAACACCUGGUUUAUUGUUGAGGCCAGCCUUGUCUGAAUAAAACAAAAGCAAAAAUAUUCUGUAUCUAAGAGCAUUCUGAACCUUGGCACCCUAAGGAUGGAAGGGAGUGAUCUGUUACACACAUGUCUCCACCUCAGAGAGCUUGAAUAUGGCAUUUCUUACGAUGCAGUGGCUGGCCACAUUCCCUUGUAUUUGAAUAUAGUAUUUUAAGGUGCAGUGGCUUGUUAUAUUCCCGUGUAUUUGAAUAUGGCAUUUCUUACGAUGCAGUGGCUGGUCACCUUCCUGCAUAUUUUUCCAUGGCACUUCCUUGUUUGCUCUCUGUGGUGAUCUAUUCAGCAGAGCCUUCCUCUGAUGAUUGUAUAGGAUCUUCACAUAUAGUUGUUCCUAAUAAAAGCUCAGGGCAAGAGGCUGUCUCAGUCCUUAGAGUGUCUUGCAGGCUCUUUGGGCCCCUAGCCUCCCCUGCUAAACAUUCACAUUUUAGACUCUGAGUUGCUAUUCACAGACUGAGCGUGGCUGUCGGUGGCAAUUUAUGUAGUGCUGGAGACCAAAGCCAGGAACUGGCACCUUCUAGGCAACUGAGAUGCAAACCCAAGUCACAAAGCAAAGUUCUGCCCCUGUGAAAAAUCCUUGGCUACGUUGGCCAUAUGUGCCAGCCUAUGGCAUCUACGGAGGGUAAGGUGUGGGAACACCAGACCUUGAGCAGAGACCCACUUCCCCUUCUGCCUGGGAGUAGGCAGCUGUAAGACAAUGUUUAGUAAAAACAUGUUUACUAAAAACGAUACA